rnacentral:rRNA from 1 species
UNUUAAAAGUUCGGGGCUUAACCCCGUGAUGGGAUGGAAACUGCUGAUCUAGAGUAUCGGAGAGGAAAGUGGAAUUCNUAGUGUAGCGGUGAAAUGCGUAGAUAUUAGGAAGAACACCAGUGGCGAAGGCGACUUUCUGGACGAAAACUGACGCUGAGGCGCGAAAGCCAGGGGAGCGAACGGGAUUAGAUACCCCGGUAGUCCUGACCGUAAACGAUGGGUACUAGGUGUAGGAGGUAUCGACCCCUUCUGUGCCGGAGUUAACGCAAUAAGUACCCCGCCUGGGGAGUACGACCGCAAGGUUGAAACUCAAAGGAAUUGACGGGGGCCCGCACAAGCGGUGGAGUAUGUGGUUUAAUUCGACGCAACGCGAAGAACCUUACCAGGUCUUGACAUUGAUGGACAGAACCAGAGAUGGUUCCUCUUCUUCGGAAGCCAGAAAACAGGUGGUGCACGGUUGUCGUCAGCUCGUGUCGUGAGAUGUUGGGUUAAGUCCCGCAACGAGCGCAACCCCUAUCUUAUGUUGCCAGCACUUUGGGUGGGGACUCAUGAGAGACUGCCGCAGACAAUGCGGAGGAAGGCGGGGAUGACGUCAAAUCAUCAUGCCCCUUAUGACCUGGGCUACACACGUACUACAAUGGGAGUUAAUAGACGGAAGCGAGAUCGCGAGAUGGAGCAAACCCGAGAAACACUCUCUCAGUUCGGAUCGUAGGCUGCAACUCGCCUACGUGAAGUCGGAAUCGCUAGUAAUCGCAGGUCAGCAUACUGCGGUGAAUACGUUCCCGGGCCUUGUACACACCGCCCGUCACACCACGAAAGUCGGAAGUGCCCAAAGCCGGUGGGGUAACCUUCGGG